rnacentral:rRNA from 1 species
UACGGGGGGGGCAAGCGUUGUUCGGAAUUACUGGGCGUAAAGGGCUCGUAGGCGGCCAACUAAGUCAGACGUGAAAUCCCUCGGCUUAACCGGGGAACUGCGUCUGAUACUGGAUGGCUUGAGGUUGGGAGAGGGAUGCGGAAUUCCAGGUGUAGCGGUGAAAUGCGCAGAUAUCAGGAGGAACACCGGUGGCGAAGGCGGAUCUCUGGGCCAUUACUGACGCUGAGGAGCGAAAGCGUGGGGAGCGAACAGG